GAUGAAGAACGUAGCGAAAUGCGAUAAGUAAUGUGAAUUGCAGAAUUCAGUGAAUCAUCGAAUCUUUGAACGCACAUUGCGCCCGCCAGUAUUCUGGCGGGCAUGCCUGUUCGAGCGUCAUUUCAACCAUCAAGCCCCAGGCUUGUGUUGGGGACCUGCGGCUGCCGCAGGCCCUGAAAACCAGUGGCGGGCUCGCUGUCACACCGGGCGUAGUAGAUUUUAUCUCGCUCAGGGCGUGCUGCGGGUUCCGGCCGUUAAAAGCCUUUUUUACCCAAGGUUGACCUCGGAUCAGGUAGGAAGACCCGCUGAACUUAAGCAUAUCAAUAAGCGGAGGA
rnacentral:misc_RNA from 1 species